rnacentral:lncRNA from 1 species
GUCCAUUGCUAUGCUGGUUGCUUGGCUCUAUUUUACCUCGUAGCUGUCGCGAAGAAAGGAGGAUGCGGUCAAUUCUAGUUCACUGUGUAAAAGCUCGCUGUCCACACAAAAUUAUUAGCUUAGAAUUGCUCUCCAAGGACGGUGUUUUUGACUACCUUCUGCUUCAGAGGACCCGAAAAGACUGCGAAGUACUGUGCAGACACCCCUGAUCUUGACAAGAGGUGUAACAUUCUGAGAAAAUCACAAUUCAGGACUGAAUCCCACGGCUUUGUUGCAGACAGACAGUAGCUGAUUACUCACUGAUACACCAGAGGAGCAGCUCAAUGGCAGACACUGGGGGUAAGUAAGCCCUGAGCAUGCAGGCUAAGUAGCAACAGAGGAUGUUUAGAGAGUGACUGUUUUCCAGACAUAUUGACUGGUCCCUUUGACCCUUUCUCCCCAGUGUACAUCCCUUUCUCCCCAGUGUACAUCCCUUUCGACCCUCCACAUCCACCCUUCACUUGCUGCCUCCGGCCCUUCCGCAUCCACUCACUAGCCCGCCUACAACUCGAUUCAAGUGAGC